UGGGGAAUAUUGCACAAUGGGCGCAAGCCUGAUGCAGCGACGCCGCGUGAGGGAUGACGGCCUUCGGGUUGUAAACCUCUUUCAGCAGGGACGAAGCGCAAGUGACGGUACCUGCAGAAGAAGCACCGGCCAACUACGUGCCAGCAGCCGCGGUAAUACGUAGGGUGCGAGCGUUGUCCGGAAUUACUGGGCGUAAAGAGCUCGUAGGCGGUUUGUCGCGUCGUCUGUGAAAUUCUGCAGCUUAACUGCAGGCGUGCAGGCGAUACGGGCAGACUUGAGUACUACAGGGGAGACUGGAAUUCCUGGUGUAGCGGUGAAAUGCGCAGAUAUCAGGAGGAACACCGGUGGCGAAGGCGGGUCUCUGGGUAGUAACUGACGCUGAGGAGCGAAAGCGUGGGUAGCGAACAGGAUUAGAUACCCUGGUAGUCCACGCCGUAAACGGUGGGUACUAGGUGUGGGUUCCAUUUCACGGGAUCCGUGCCGUAGCUAACGCAUUAAGUACCCCGCCUGGGGAGUACGGCCGCAAGGCUAAAACUCAAAGGAAUUGACGGGGUCAUAGCUGUUUCCU
rnacentral:rRNA from 1 species